rnacentral:rRNA from 1 species
GUCCGCACCGUAAACGAUGAUUACUCGUUGUUGGCGAUAUGACAGUCAGCGACCAAGCGAAAGCGAUAAGUAAUCCACCUGGGGAGUACGCCGGCAACGGUGAAACUCAAAGGAAUUGACGGGGGCCCGCACAAGCGGAGGAGCAUGUGGUUUAAUUCGAUGAUACGCGAGGAACCUUACCUGGGCUUGAAAGUUAGCGACCGGUCCUGAAAGGGAUCUUCCAGCAAUGGCGCGAAACUAGGUGCUGCAUGGCUGUCGU